AUUGCAUGGUAUACCCUCUAAAUCUUUCCCAAACCUCACAAAAAGAUUCAUGAUUCUUCUGAAUAAAACUUGAGAUUUUAUUUC
rnacentral:snoRNA from 1 species